rfam:Oryza glumipatula chromosome 1, whole genome shotgun sequence.
UUUAAGUGCGACCAUAAGUUUUCGUGUCCAACUUUGAUCAUCUGUCUUAUUUGAAUUUUUUUUAUAAUUAGUAUUUUUGUUGUUAUGAGAUGAUAAAAUAUGAAUAGUACUUUACUCGUGGCUUAUGUUUUAAAAAUUUUUUAAAAAAUUAUCAAAUAAGACGGACGGUUAAAGUUGAACGCAGAAAACCAUGACUACAUUUAAA